CAAAAAAUAAAAUCAGUAAGAGACAGAAACGAAGACAGGUCCGUUUUUUUCAUUUUCUGAGACCGGAAGUGGUCAUCAGCAAGUGUGGAGCCAAACGACAACAAGAUUCUCAGAGGGCGGAGCCAGAGAGCAGUGAUUGGUCAGACCAUAGCUAGCGUAUCUAGUCUUCUAUGCAUAUCUAUGGUCGGCACAUCUGGUAGCAUCUCUGGCUGCUGUUGACCUUGUUUUUGGAGUAAAACACGGUGGAAGCUGAAUUAGUGAGGAUGACUCCUGCUCCUGUCAUCUCUAAGCUCCUCACACAUCUUUACCUGCACAUGAGGAAAAUCACUCCUGUAGAAUGCAGAUGUUCAGAGGGAGAUGAUGCCACAUCUGGUCCAGCCGAUGGAAGGUCUUGAAGUUCUCUGACUGGCCUGGACUGAAGAUGGUCGUCUCACUGGAUUUAAGGAUUACCACAGACCUGACCGUGAACACCGUUGACACCCACCUGAGGGAGACGCUGCCUAAGAUCUCAAGGCUGCUUGGUCGUGGUCUUUCUGGUCCUGCUCCAGAACGCCUUCAUCAACUACAUCUUCUUUUGAAGAGGCCCUCAGAUGCUGCAAUCUCUGACCUUAAGGAGGAACUGCUACUUUCACUCUGUAACGAGACAGCGGUUAUUUUAAAGACCCAGCUCCUGGCGGCUUUGAGUCAAAGUUUAACACCCAUCAAAACGGAACUACAGACAGUUAAAUCUGAGCUGUCGGUCAGUAUUUCAAACAUCAAGUCCGACCCGGCUGCCCUAAAGCACGCUGUGAGUGAAACGGAAACUUCACUCUCCACAUCACCGACGACAUCGUCACACUCCAAAGCAGAG
ensembl:lncRNA